CCAAAACACGUUAAAUUAUGCGAAUAACAGCGCCAAUUGCAGAAAUCCCUCCACAUAGGACGUACACUGGUGUCUCAUGCUGUCUCUUAUCUCAUCUCACCAAACGCACGCGGCACAGCUCACCGCCCCAUAGUGAGCAAAGUGUAACGCGUGAGCGGACGUGUGAGCUACGCGCAAUUCGAGCACCAGCAUCGCUCACCGCACAGUGAGACGUGCCAUCGUAAACUGGACAACAUUGCUCCCAUUCGCCGUAACACCCGUUCGAGCUGUGCGCGACCAGUGCAGCAGUAGUUGUGUGCGGUCUCGCUUUCGCUCGCUUUGUGUUACGGCCUCAUGUUCCUGCUGAGCGCAAAGCUACAUGUGUGUGUGUGUGUGUGUGUGUGCGUUUUGCCAGCAGGCAUCAGCGCAAAAACUGUGCACACACAUUGAGUGAGCGAGAUGCCCCGUGCUCGCUCUCGCUCUCUCUCUCUCUCUUUCCCGUGCGCGGUGUGUUGCGCUUCUAGCCGUCGUCUUGGGCGAGGUAACGCCUUGUAACGCAUCUCUUUUUUUCUUACCAUUCGAAGCGUGCGGAUGUGUUUUGCUCGGCUGUGCUCGCGUCAAGUGUUUUUUUGAGUGCAAAAUGCGACGUUACGCAAAAAAAUGAUCCCGCGGCAAAUCAAGCCCAUCACCCUUUCCCUUGACCGUGUGUGUGUGUGCGCGCAAUGCGUACGAGUGUGUGGCUGUGUGCGUGCAGCGCAGUAGUGUAGGCCGCGUAUGUGCUUGUGUGUGUGUGUGUGGUUUUUUGUUCACGCGAAACGAGCGACGACUCUCGUCGUUCCAUGCGUGUGUGGUGGCGGCGGCGGCGACGGAUGCAGGAAUGUGUGUGCGCUCGUUUGAAUGUUGAAUUUGGCAGAAUUUUGUCGCGUGUGUUUACUUAGCAAGAGGGUUAUUUUUUUGUUUUUGCUCUUCUUCUCCCCCGAAGUGCGUGUGUGUGUGUGUGUGUGUUGCGUGUCGUAUGAAUGUGUGCGCGCGACUGUGCGAACAAUUCCCCCGUCCUUGUGUGUGCUGCUCUCCGUGUGGCACACACGCUUGCACACACUACACUUGUUUGCCGCGUACGGAGCAAAGUGGAUGGUCGGUCGGUCGAUCGAAAAAAACAGCAGCAGCCAGUCCUCCCGCGAUAAAAGUGCCCUUUUCUUUCCCUUAUUGCUGGUGAAUGUGUGUUUGUGUGUGUGUGCUUUAUUGUUAUUCUUAACCUCAUCGUGUAGAAGCGCGCGCGCGAUGUCGUUCUAACUCGAUCUCGUUUUAAUUUGCGGCUCACGAAAAAAAUAGUAUUAACUUGUGUGUUUAUUCUAAAAAAUCGCUGUCUGUGUGUGUGUGGGUACCAAAAACGGUCCUUCUGGCAAAUUGUUAUUGUGCAUACAUUUGCAUACAUGUUUGAGGGCAAAACUCUGUGAUUCCACGUGCUUGAGUAAAUAUGUUGGUUUGGUGUCCAUUUUUUCUCAACAUUUCUUUCGUAACAAACAAAACAUUCACUCCCUCGGGAAAAGAUUAUUAAAAAAUGUGUGUGAGCAUUUGAAGAAAAAAAGAAAAUGGACCAAAGAAGUGUGUGCGUUCUGGGCACAAAAACCUCAAAUGGCGUACACACGCGUGUACACGAGCGAGAUCAUCCCCCCUCGUGCGCUGCUAGUUGUGUGCGAGAGCGUGCGGCAAAACGCAUGAGUUGUACCCCCCCUCCAGUCCCUUCUUGCGCGUUACUGUCGCCCUCCCUCCCCCGCGCCACCCACAAGAAGGGUCACAAAAAGAAGGUAACACACAGACACACACGCACACACAGACAGACCGUGGAAGAGAAUGAACAAAAAAACCGUCUGCCGUCGUCGUGUUCGCCUUUCGAUUUGUGGUGCGCGCGCUGUGUGUUGUUACAAGAGAGCCAGCCAGCCAGCUCUACAAAAAAUCGUCUCCGGGAAGCCAAAAUUAAAACACCCGCGAGAGAGAGAGAGAGAG